GGGUGCGUAGCUCAGCGGUAGAGUACUGCCUCGACACGGCAGGGGUCACAGGUUCAAAUCCUGUCGCACCCACCA
rnacentral:tRNA from 3 species